UCCAGUUUAUCACCGGCAGUCUCUCUAGAGUGCCCAGCUUUACCUGAUGGCAACUAAAGAAAAAGGUUGCGCUCGUUGCGGGACUUAACCCAACACUUCACAGCACGAGCUGACGACAGCCAUGCAGCACCUGUGUAAUCGUCCCUUGCGGGAACACCAACUUUCGUUGGCUGGCAACUACAUGUCAAGCCUGGGUAAGGUUCUUCGCGUAGCCUCGAAUUAAACCACAUGCUCCACCGCUUGUGCGGGUCCCCGUCAAUUUCUUUGAGUUUCAGUCUUGCGACCGUACUCCCCAGGUGGUGGAUUUAAUGCGUUAGCGUCGGCGCCAAAAGGAUCAACACCCUUGACACCUAAUCCACAUCGUUUACGGCAAGGACUAC
rnacentral:misc_RNA from 1 species